rnacentral:rRNA from 1 species
AGAGUUUGAUCCUGGCUCAGGAUGAACGCUGGCGGCGUGCUUAACACAUGCAAGUCGAACGGAGUUAUGAUGAAGCUUGCGAUUCAUAACUUAGUGGCGGACGGGUGAGUAACGCGUGAGUAACCUGCCUUGCACUGGGGGACAACAGUUGGAAACGACUGCUAAUACCGCAUAAGCGCACAGCUUCGCAUGAAGCAGUGUGAAAAACUCCGGUGGUGUAAGAUGGACUCGCGUCUGAUUAGCUAGUUGGUGAGGUAACGGCCCACCAAGGCGACGAUCAGUAGCCGGCCUGAGAGGGUGAACGGCCACAUUGGGACUGAGACACGGCCCAAACUCCUACGGGAGGCAGCAGUGGGGAAUAUUGGGCAAUGGGCGAAAGCCUGACCCAGCGACGCCGCGUGAGGGAUGAAGGUCUUCGGAUUGUAAACUUCUGUCGUCAGGGAAGAAGAAUGACGGUACCUGAUGAGAAAGCCACGGCUAACUACGUGCCAGCAGCCGCGGUAAUACGUAGGUGGCAAGCGUUAUCCGGAUUUACUGGGUGUAAAGGGUGUGUAGGCGGGACUGCAAGUCAGAUGUGAAACUUAUGAGCUCAACUCAUAACCUGCAUUUGAAACUGUGGUUCUUGAGAGUCGGAGAGGUAAACGGGAAUUCCUGGUGUAGCGGGUGGAAAUGCGUAGAUAUCAGGAGGAACACCGGUGGCGAAGGCGGUUUACUGGACGACAACUGACGCUGAGACACGAAGGCGUGGGGAGCAAACAGGAUUAGAUACCCUGGUAGUCCACGCGGUAAACGAUGAAUGUUAGGUGUAGGGCCCGUCAGGGUUCUGUGCCGCAGUUAACACAAUAAACAUUCCACCUGGGGAGUACGGCCGCAAGGUUGAAACUCAAAGGAAUUGACGGGAGCCCGCACAAGCAGUGGAGUAUGUGGUUUAAUUCGACGCAACGCGAAGAACCUUACCGGAGCUUGACAUCCUGAGAAGACUGAUGUAAUGUCGGUUGUGCCCCUUCGGGGGAAUUCAGAGACAGGUGGUGCAUGGUUGUCGUCAGCUCGUGUCGUGAGAUGUUGGGUUAAGUCCCGCAACGAGCGCAACCCUUACGGUUAAUUGCUACGCAAGAGCACUUUAGCCGGACUGCCGUUGAUAAAACGGAGGAAGGUGGGGAUGACGUCAAAUCAUCAUGCCCCUUACGCCCCGGGCUACACACGUACUACAAUGGCGUAAACAAAGGGAAGCGAAGCCGCGAGGCAGAGCAAACCCCGGAAAAUACGUCCCAGUUCGGACUGCAGGCUGCAACUCGCCUGCAUGAAGCUGGAAUCGCUAGUAAUCGCGAAUCAGCAUGUCGCGGUGAAUACGUUCCCGGGUCUUGUACACACCGCCGGUCA